rnacentral:tRNA from 1 species
GUCCUCGUAGCUCAGUUGGAUAGAGCGCCGCCCUCCUAAGGCAGAGGCCCCAGGUUCGAUUCCUGGCGAGGACGCCA